rnacentral:rRNA from 1 species
CACAGCACUUUGCCAACUCGUAAGAGGAAGUAUAAGGUGUGACGCCUGCCCGGUGCUCGAAGGUUAAGAGGAUGCGUCAGUCGCAAGAUGAAGCGUUGAAUUGAAGCCCGAGUAAACGGCGGCCGUAACUAUAACGGUCCUAAGGUAGCGAAAUUCCUUGUCGGUUAAAUACCGACCUGCAUGAAUGGCGUAACGAGAUGGGAGCUGUCUCAACCAGAGAUUCAGUGAAAUUGUAGUGGAGGUGAAAAUUCCUCCUACCCGCGGCAAGACGGAAAGACCCCGUGGACCUUUACUACAACUUAGCACUGCUAAUGGGAAUAUCAUGCGCAGGAUAGGUG